rnacentral:lncRNA from 1 species
UUUUUUUUUUUGUAGGUUGGGCAGAGGCGCAGCCAGAUACUCCUGUAGACGAAGUUCCACCCGGACCAGAAGUACCAGAAAAGAUAAAGAAACGCUACCGAAAGAAAAAGACCAAACUCGAGGAGGCUUUCCCCACCUACCUUCAGGAGGCUUUCUUUGGAAAGGAUCUUCUAGACAAAAGCAAGCAAAGCAGACAGCAUGGAGUUGAAUCGGGCUUACUGGAAGACGGGCAAGUGGAGCGAAAACACACCAAAUACCAGCAUCCUGGACUCAUCAUCGGUGCUCAACUUCUCAGCAUCAUCCAUUCCUUCUAGAUCAGGUGCAACUGCAGAGACGUCUGAUGAGCCCUUAGUUGAUCUAGCUGAUGUUCUGAACUCUGAUGCAGACAUCUUGGGAAUGCUCGGAAAGUCAAGCAGUGAAUCUGGUCUUGAUUUUUGCUCCUUCCAGGUUGACAGCUCACCUCCUCCUUUUGGUAAGGGUGAUAAGGCCAACUAAUCCCUUUGCUCUAGUGCAUUCUUCCUCUAAAAGUCUGUCUCUUUUUGGGUGUGCAUCUGUAUCUAACAACGCUUUCUCAUUUCUCAGCUUUUGGCUUUUCUUUCAUUAACACUUCAAAUCACACAGCAGCGCUAACAGAAUGCAGUCAUGUUUUCACUGGUCUGGUGUUUUAAUCUUACCCCUAUCCCCUUUCAUUAUUAAAUAUCUAUUUCUAUAC